rnacentral:misc_RNA from 1 species
CAAACACUUCUCUGAGAUAGAUUAUAUGCUUGAAAGUCGCAAUUUCAAGCAUUUUGCAUUUACCAAUUGCAUCAAAAUGGAUCAAAAGACUCACAGAAGCAUUCUUGCAGGCACAGAGCAGAGAAUUCAAGUUGUGGCUACGGCAUCAGAUCAACUAUAUAAUGAUGAAAGGGUCUCUCUCUCUCUCUGUCUCUCUCUCUCU